rnacentral:ncRNA from 1 species
ACCAGGGGGUGCCCAACUAGAGCGGACAAUGCCUGCUCAAUGGCUGAGAACAAACCCCAGAACCUGAUCCGGAUAAUACCGGCGGAGGAAAAA